GAUGAAGAACGUAGCGAAAUGCGAUACUUGGUGUGAAUUGCAGAAUCCCGUGAACCAUCGAGUCUUUGAACGCAAGUUGCGCCCGAAGCCUCGGCUAAGGGCACGUCUGCCUGGGCGUCACGCAUCGCGUCCCCCCCAAACCGCCAAGGCGGAGGGGAAGGAAGAUGGCUUCCCGUGCCUCACCCGGCGCGGUUGGCCUAAAUUUGGAGCCCGCGGCACUUAGCUCUCGCGGCGAUAGGUGGUGAACAAGGCCUUGGCCGUGCAAACAACCCGCUGCGAAGCUCUAUGUCACGUGCGCUCGUCGGACCCUUUGAAGUUGCCUUCGGUGACUUAAAACCUUUGCGACCCCAGGUCAGGCGGGGCUACCCGCUGAAUUUAAGCAUAUCAAUAAGCGGAGGA
rnacentral:misc_RNA from 1 species